GGGUCACCAUAGGCUGGAUUGCCUCUUACUUAAAAGAAAUCCCAAAAAGACCAAAAAGAGUGAAUUGUUGGGUAUUUGAAAAGAUAGUGACACUUCAAGCUCCAAUAAGGAAGAGGAAGCAAUAAAUCUUUGCCUCAUGGUUAUUGAGGAUGAGGUAAAUUUGGAACACUCUUUUCAAUUUAAAUUUGAUGAAUUAUUUGAAGUCUUUAAUG
rnacentral:lncRNA from 1 species